rnacentral:rRNA from 1 species
AUUGAACGCUGGCGGCAUGCCUUACACAUGCAAGUCGAACGGCAGCACGGGAGCAAUCCUGGUGGCGAGUGGCGAACGGGUGAGUAAUACAUCGGAACGUGCCCAGUAGUGGGGGAUAACCCGGCGAAAGCCGGACUAAUACCGCAUACGACCUACGGGUGAAAGCGGGGGAUCGCAAGACCUCGCGCUAUCGGAGCGGCCGAUGUCAGAUUAGCUAGUUGGUGGGGUAAAGGCCUACCAAGGCGACGAUCUCUAGCUGGUCUGAGAGGACGACCAGCCACACUGGGACUGAGACACGGCCCAGACUCCUACGGGAGGCAGCAGUGGGGAAUUUUGGACAAUGGGCGCAAGCCUGAUCCAGCCAUGCCGCGUGCGGGAAGAAGGCCUUCGGGUUGUAAACCGCUUUUGUCAGGGAAGAAACGCUCCGGGCUAAUACCACGGAGUAAUGACGGUACCUGAAGAAUAAGCACCGGCUAACUACGUG